CCGCGCGAGAAGCGCCAAGCGGCUGGUCCCUAGCGGCCGCGGGGAGCGCGGGAUUUUACCUCAGUCUCUGGCGGUCGUCAGACCGCGUUUCGGCGGCGGCGUUUUUUAAAAAAUCAGUUUGGUCUCAUGCGUCCCUCCCGCGUGGCAAGAGCAGCCCGAGGCCUCUGUACCCGGCCCUGCCCUCACCGCCCGGGCGUCGGCGCGCGCGGGAUCGGGCGGGAAGGGCCCCACCGAGCGCCGCGGGCAGCCGGGCGGUGGUCGCGCUGCCCUGCCGAGGCCGAGGCUCACGUUGUAAACGCCAUAAAGAAUCAGGUUGCCUCGGUGUUAACAACCCAGCUGAGGCUACGCGGUACCGCGUCGAAAGCUUCGUGCGGCGUUUGGCCGCCCUUUAUUCCUACGAAGUCCCCCGAGCACGGAGCCGAGCCCCGCAGCGCAGCUGGGCCUCGGUGUGCGGGCUCGGGUCCUCGGGCCCGGCCGGGGCCAGGAGACCCCGCGCUGGACACGCGCAGGGGCGAGUCAGGCAGGGCUCAGCGGCGGCGAGGAGCUGCGGUUUGACGCGGACACUUUGGAGUUGCCUGAUUGCCGCCACAGACCUAAAGCAAAGGUUGUGAAUCGGCUGUUUUCCCUGCGACCACCAAGCGUGGCCGUGACGCGGACCGUGUCCCUGCCCCUCAAGUCCUAGCGGAGACUCAUCCAGAGACCACAGCCGCUUCCUUUGAAGCGCUAAAAGAGAGAGGACUUAUUCCCAAACUCUCAAUUGAAUACCUAAAUAACUGCAGCUUUUAUGAAAUCUCAAUUAUACCACGAUAAACUGGUCUGAAGAAAUAGGAAAAAAGAACAACAUGCAGCAAGCAGACGGGUAGGCGCCCCAAGAACUAGCUUGGGUGAUGACGAAGGGUGAGGCCCUCACAGGAGACGUGGUGUGAAGGGGUCAUGAAAGGUGGAUGACUGCAGGCCUGCGCUAGGACGUCACUGCGAGGUCUGGAACAAGGGCAGUGUCGGGAAGGAGGGAGAUACCACCAAGACGCCAAGACACCGAAGGGAAGGGAGUGGUGACUGCAACCAGUCCUGAGGUUGCCUCCUUGCUAGGGGAAGUCGGGGAGAAGCCUUUGACUUGGGACAGCUAGCACACCUGUUGCCUGGAGUAAAUGGCCAUCACGUUGAGCCCCAGUUGCUUCACUUAACAGGGAGUAACCAUGCACCUGUGCGACAUGGUUGACGAGUUCAGAGGCUCUGGGAGUAUCUAGCACUGGGGAUGGUACAUAAAUGACUCCGUGGACGAGGCUCUUCCUCCGCUCGCAUGGGAAAUCUUGGAUUGAUUUCUUAAUUUGGGCGCAGUGUGCUGCUGUUUUCCCUCCAUGGUUUACAUUUGCUCCCACUUUCCCCCUCUUCUUCUAGAUCUCCUCCUAAACAGUUCAAGAAUUAUCCGUACAAGGGAGUUGUUUGCCGCUGACUCAGAGCUUUGGAGGACCCGUCUGCUCCAACUGCAAUCCUGGGGCCCUCGCGUCACAUCAUGUGGAAGCUCUUUAGAAGUGUGGAACCUCAGCCCGCUCAGGCAGAAGGAGUUGCAAUCUGUAGUCCAACAAGGCCCCUGCGUGACUUGUGUGCAAGGAAAGAAAACAUUCUGAUGGCAACUUUGCCUUCAAAGAAACCCUCUAUCCUGGAAGGAGGCUGCUUGGCCGUGAGCAGAGGAAUGUGUUUCAGAAAACAGAGCACCAGAGAAGGGAGCCCCGCAUGGCUGCUGGGGUGUGGGCCCAGCAGAACUUUAUGCCGUUUCUGCAGGUCUCUGGGCCAGGCUCCUUGUGACAGACAUUCAGGUUGAAGAUGUGAUGAUGCAGAGUCGGAUGGGGCAACUCACACUUGCCACUGCCUAAUACCCUCAGGAGGCUGAUACCACCACCACCACCACCACGGUGAUUUCUGAAGAGUGAACAGUUUUAACAGACAGCGCUGCUGAUACUCUCGCACUUAACAGAAUGGUUUCGGCGUCUCUUCAUUGUCAGAUCACACAGCCACAGCAUACUCUGUACACUUUGGAUGUACUCAGUUUUGAUAAAGAUGAUGUUGCCAACUGUUGUUCGAUGGAUGUACAAUAAUCUUAAAAAUCCACGGAAAUGUGCUUGCACGUAAGGACUCAUUGCAGCUGAGUAACGUGAGUAACGUUGUGGGGUAAGUUGAAUUAGCUAAAGAUGCAUGGCAGCAGCGCUCACGGCGAUGAGUUCUAGCGGGGACACUCCUGUGUCCUGUCGGUGUGCUCUGCUUGUCCAGGAAGCAGCACUGCUAUAGUGGAAUCUCCAUCAGGCUGGCCGGACAAGCGUCUCUGACCUUGUACAUGGACAGCGCCUCCUCCCUUUUCCUCAAGUGACUGCAAAGCUUGUCCUGCUGCCAUCUCACUUCUCUCCUAGGUGUUUUCUGAAACCAUAGCUGGCCAAGAGUCCAGGCCACAGAGUUGUUCUUGAUGCCAUUCUAAUGUCCCUGUGUUUCAGGCAGUCCCCAGAUUAUCUGUUGGGCUACACCCUUGGUUGGCACCUGUGUUUCUUGGAGGGCAACACCAGCUGCCUUAUGCCUGGUCAAAGUGCAGGACCCAGCCUGGCUUUGUCUUUGUUUUCUUGGAGGCAAGCCUGACUCUAUCUCCGUCAAACAUUGUGUUGGCUGUUACCAGUGAAAGCCCUUGACCAGACCCAAGAUGGCUGGAAAUAAAGAUGGAGGAGCGUAGACCCCAUGCAGUACGCCCUUGCUGUCAGAGAGCAAAGCGCCACAUGCAGCGGGAAUCUGCCAUGCCCAGGGCCUGUGCUGCGCCCCAGUGCGGGGAGAGGUUGGGUUCAGAGCUCAGAGAGAGUGUGUUCCCACGUUCACACACUGAGAUGCGGGUAUGAAAUAUCUCAGAAGCAACAUACUUAUUUACAAAUUAGGAGUGGGUAAGACAGCAUUAAACUUGGUGCCCCAAACAGAAAAAAAAAGAGAAAGAGAAAUGUAGAUAGAUAUUCGAUGCUGAAGACAAAGGAACGACUCUGAAUGCAGAGCUUGGAUUUAGGUUUGCGAAAUGAAACGAGAGGUGAAAACCAGAGUGUGCCCUUGCAGAAGAGUAGGUCCCAGUGCUGCGGGCAGACGCCUGAGCGGGGAGUGGAGACAGCAGUGGAGAGAGCCCGUGCUCAGCAGCCUGGGGGACACAGAGGUGUCAGGAAAGUUGGGGUCGCAGAGCUUAGCAGCCUGGUGAGUGGCUGGAGUUGCUUUCUCGGGGUGCAAGGCUGAGGGGGAGGACUGUGCUCCAGUGGGAACGCGGACACCCCAGCCUGCUCAAGUGACUCUCGUGUCGGUAUUAUUAUUUACGUUUGGAAGGCUCAAUUAAUAAUAAAGCCAAUGGCUACAAGCAUUUUUUUUGAAAGAUUCAUUGAUUUUACUUGAAAGUCAGAGUUACACAGAGAGAGAAGAGGCACAGAGAGAGAUCUUCCAUCCUCUGGUUCACUUCCCAGUUGGCCACAACGGCCGGAGGUGCACCCAUCCGAAGCCCGGAGCCAGGAGCUUCUUCCAGAUCUCCCAUGUGGGUGCAGGGACCCAAGCACUUGGCCAUCUUCUACUGCUUUCCCAGGCCAUAGCAGAGAGCUGGACAGGAAGUGGAGCAGCCGGGACUUGAACCAGUGCCCGUAUGGAAUGCUGGUGCUGCAGGCAGCGGCUUUACCCGCCAAGGCACAGCACCGGCCCCACAAGCAUUUCUUGUGGAUAACAAAUACCACGACAUCACAGGUCUGUUGAGUUUCAUCCUAGUAAGAAAGGAAGUUCCAUCUGUUAACUAAAGGGGAAAAAAUAAAGAAGGUAGCAAAUUUGCCCAAGUAAAGUAAAAUGCAGAGCAAAGAAGUCUCUCUUGCUGUCUGCCUUUGAGAUGACAGCGUAGCACUGCCACAUCCCACCCGUUCCUGGUCCCUGGCGGUUUUCUCCCCGGUGGGGCAGCGGCAUGCCUGGGCCACCCGGCCGCCACACACCGCUGUGUCUCACAAGGGGCUGCUGCUCUGCGGGAACCCUCAUGACUGUCUUGGAGCUACAGUUCCUAGUGGAGCCUACAGGACGAGGAGCAUUUUUGUAAUUCUCCAAAUAGCUUAGAACUUCUGGGCUGGAAGUGACUGCAGUGCUGAAAAGCAAAUAUUUAGAUUUAGAAAUAAAAUUUAAAGAUUAUCACACUGGAUGAGAAAGAACAGGUGAAAUUUCAGAUGCACCAAUUAUUAAUCAUGAAGAUAAUUCUAAAGUUAAUUUUCCUGAAAAUUGAAAAUAUAAUGAUAAAACAUACACGAUGUCUUCUGAAUAAUUAUAAAUUCAUGAUUCUACUUUUGAUUUCUGUGUAACCCCAUUUCAGGAAAUAUUAGUGGAAAUAUAAAAUAUGAGAGCACUCAUUUCCAUGUAAAAUCAAAUUCAGACCUUAAUAUGAAACUAGUUUGUAUGAGGAAUUAUAUCGUUUUAGAAAAAUUUUCUGCAAGAACCAGUGGAUGUACUUAAAUUCGUACUCGUAAAUUAAAUAUGAGAAACUUGGGGCUGGCACUGUGGCCCAGCGGGUUAACACCCUAGCCUGAAGCGUCGGCAUCCCAUAUGGGUGUCAGUUCGAGUCCUGGCUGCUCUCCUUCUGAUCCAGCUCUCUGCUGUGGCCUGGGAAAGCAGUAGAAGAUGGCCCAAGUCCUUGGGCCCCUGCACCGUGUGGGAGACCUGGAAGAAGCUCCUGGCUCCUGGCUUUGGAUUGACGUAGCUCCAGCUAUUGUGGCCAAUUAGGGAGUGAAGCAUUGGAUGGAAGACCUCUCUCUCUCUCUCUCUUUUUCUCUCUCUGCCUCUCCUCUUUCUGUGUAACUCUUUCAAAUAAAUAAAUAAAUCUUAAAAAAAAUACGAGAAACUUACCCCAGCAUUAACAUAGUCUUUCAAACAGUCCUAACAGGUCUAAUUAUAGCUUAUUGGAGUAUUUCAGGAAGUUCAUGGAAUCUUCAAAAAUUUAAUAGAAAAUGUGUAUUAUGCAAAUAUUAUGUAUGAAUUUCAAAAAAUUAUCGUGCCAAAAUAAGCUUAUCUCUUACUUCUUAUUUCUACUUUUCCAUGGAGUUUUUGAAGUACCCUGGUGAGCAGGAGAUGGUUUCCACCUCUCCAGGAGGCCAUCCGGUCACUACCUAAGGAUGGUGUUUUGGGAGUCCAUGUUUUCCACAGGCUUGCCAGGCAAUUCUAGUGCACACUGACUUGGGAGCAAAAACGUGGAUCUAUGAGGGAUCUGGCCAGCAAGAAUUCUUGACAUGUUUACUUCCCCAAGAAAAUGCAUGAUGAGAUGGUGAGGAGUAGAAAAUAAAUUCAGACUGGAGACCUGCGAGGCCCUAGGAGCCUGAGAGGAUGAAUGUGUCCAUGGGUCAUUGAUACAAAGGCAGCAGUGAAGGAAUGUGGAUCAGAUGCCUGUCAGUAACGUUGAAAGCAGAACCAGUCAGAACAAAGCCAGCAUUUUGAUGUUGAUGUAGAAAGAGGAGACCCAUGUGUGGGUAUAUAGGGUUAUUUUACUUGUUGUCUUGGAAACGUAAGAUAAAUUCAAAUGAAGAAAUAAAUUUAGAACCACAAAUUUUAGUUCUCAGGCCCAGAUUUGUUGUAUAGUUUAUUGUUAGGCUUUUAUGUUUUUAUAAAGCAUUAAAUGGUAUGAGAAUUUUCUCUGUAAUUCUAUUAUUGGAUUUUGUACCAAAUGAAUGUGGAAGUAUGUCAACUCUCAUAAAACUUUGUUCAGAGACAACAAGAGUUCUCCUUCACAGUUCUUGAUGCUGGAGCAAAUUUUCUUCACUCAUCCCUGCCCUGCUCCAUCCACUGAGACCACCAUUUGACCCUGUGACCCUCAGCUUUCUGGGGUUACUCUGCUCAUUUUGAUUAUUUCUCCAGGACUUAAAUCCACUCCAGAGCAUAUGUAAGGCUGCUGCAGCCUGCAGAUGGAGAUGUUAUACUCUCCCAUGACAGUCCUCAUUGUCAGGAAGGAAAUCCGGAUUUAUCUGCCCGUGAGUCUUACCAUUGUACACUGGACUUCCGAGGGAUGCUUCUGCGUGACACCUUUUCAAAUAUUUAAAAGGAACAAUCCAUCUGCCUCCUUCCUUCAGACUAAACACCGCCAGUUCUUUUGCCAUUUAGGUUGUGGAGAACAGAGGAACAUUAAUCUUCAUUAUUAUGGCCUCUAUCGGUCUAUUAAUACAACCAGGAUCACAUUAGCUUCUUUUUUGGUGAGAGUCACAUGUUGGCUUUUAUUAAGCUUGCAGUUGAAUAAAAUCCGAAUGCCUUUCCCACAGAUGGUUCUGCGAUGUCACUGCCUGCCUGACUCUGUGCUUUGGGGGCCUGGUUGUUGCGUUGGUUGAAUUUGUCUGCCUUUGUUCUGUACGGUGCUCUGCCAUCAUGGUUUGUAUUUCCUGUCUCUGCCAUUCAGUACAGUUGCCUUCCUCUCUGCACCGUGGGAUCUGCAAAGGUGGUAACCGUGAGAUCCAGAUGUCACCCUGCCUCUGGGCAGGCAGCUCUCUGUGCUCCGCCGUCAGCAUCAUUUCUGGAACUCUUUCGUUAGUCAGUAAUUAACGGCCAUUUUCUAGUUACACGUCCUCCUCAGUGUCCUGGAAUCUGUCUCACUUUUCUCUAAAUUUUGACCACAAGGACUUUAUGGGUGAUUUUAUCAAAUCCCUUACACUGUCUGAUGCCUUGUGUCUAGAACAUUUCCUUAAGUCAUGUAGCUAUCUAAAAAAAGAAUUUUGGCCCAUUUUACAUGAAAAUCUUUAUUUAUUGUGUUAGCUUGUUUUCUCUUGCUGUAACAAAAUGCCUGAAGUUGGGCACUCAAAGAAAAUGGCUUAUGUAGCUCACAAUUAUGGAGGCUUGAAGUUCAAGCCUGGGCCUCUGUGGCUGUGUUACGAGUUGGUGGACAAGCGAAAGGGGAGACAGCCACGUGCAGAAAGGCCAUGUGGAGCAGCCUCGGGGGCAGUGCCCCUUGAGACCUGGUUGCCUCACAAGAUCCUACCUCUUCAAGGUUCCACUGCUGUGAGACAAAGCCUCCAGCGUGGGAGAGACCCCCAGCCCCCAACCACCACCCAAACCGUAGUGCUGAGUCCUCUGAUGUGGGGCUGGGAGUGAGUGGUGAUGAGUGCUUGGAAACCUUGCUGGGGAGUCAGGACUUUGUUUUGUAGGCAACAGGGGGCCUCCUGCAGUAGAGCAAAGACACAGCACAGUUGCUUGUAAGCGGGGUAUGCAGGGCUGCUGGCUGCCCGCGUGCUGCAGCAGCUGGGACCCAGAGGUUCUGAGAACCCGGGGGAGAAGCAGGGAGGCUCCGGCGUGCGUGGCGUGGGAUGCCUGGAGGAGGAGGGCAGGCCUGUGGGCUUGGGCCAGAGUGCGUGAUGGGGCUGAGCGAGGCAGAGCUCCUUCAGGGUCCGGGCUGCAGGACUUUGCCCUCCUGCAGAGCCAGGCCUCACUCCCGCAGCCAGCUCCAGCUCGCCUGGGCCCCUUUGCCAGAGAUUCAUCCCUUCCUCUGUCUGCAUAGCAGUUCCUCAAGGAUUCUUUUUUAUUUAUUUAUUUAUUUAUUUAUUUAUUUAUUUAUUUAUUUAUUUUGACAGGCAGAGUGGACAGUGAGAGAGAGAGAGAGACAGAGAGAAAGGUCUUCCUUUGCCGUUGGUUCACCCUCCAAUGGCCACCGCGGCUGGCGCGCUGCGGCCGGCGCACCGAGCUGAUCCGAUGGCAGGAGCCAGGAGCCAGGUGCUUUUCCUGGUCUCCCAUGGGGUGCAGGGCCCAAGCACCUGGGCCAUCCUCCACUGCACUCCCUGGCCACAGCAGAGGGCUGGCCUGGAAGAGGGGCAACCGGGACAGAAUCCGGCGCCCCAACCGGGACUAGAACCCGGUGUGCCGGCGCCGCAAGGCAGAGGAUUAGCCUAGUGAGCCGCGGCGCCGGCCCUCAAGGAUUCUUAAAGGGUCUCAUUUUUCUUUUAUUCAACCAAACAUUUCCGAAGGUAGUGGAAUUCUGACUGACUUACCUGAAUGAGGGAUUGUUUCCUUAUGCAGUAAUUUCACUGGAAAAAUGCAAAUCCCAGUUUUAUCAUUUAUCUUAAUCUUGAUUUUUGUACAAGUAGGGUUCAAAAUGUUAAAAAAGUUAUAACCUGAAGUAUCUAAAAUUUAAAAAUCCCAGAUUAAAAAAAGAUGUGAGUGAUAACUCCCUAAUUUACCCUGCUUCUAAAUCAAGAUUUGCAUUUAAAAAAGCACUAAUUAGACCUUUUAGAAAAUGGAAAAUUGUGAUUAAUUAAAUUUUUUUUGAUCUGAAAAUGCAUUUUGUUUCAGUCUUUAAUGCUGAAAACAAUUUUCUGAUGUAGCAUUAGGAGAACCCUCAUUGAAUUAUUUUGAAUUCAUUAAUUUUUAUUUUAGAUUCUGUUAUCAUUCCACUUACCCAUAAUGGAAGCAAUUAAAAAACAAUAUGAGGGGCCGGCACUGUGGCACAGUAGGAUAAUCCUCUGCCUGCAGCACUGGCAUCCCAUAUGGGAGCUGGUUCUAGUCCCGGCUGCUCCUCUUCCAACCCAGCUCUCUGCUAUAGCCUGGGAAAGCAGUAGAAGAUGACCCAAGUCCUUGGGCCCCUGCACCUGCUUGGGAGACUGGGAAGAAGCACCUGGCUCCUGGCUUCGGAUCAGUGCAGCUCUGACCAUUGCAGCUAUUGGGAAGUGAACCAACGGACAGAAGACCUUUCUCUCUGUUUCUCCCUCUCACUGUCUGUAACUC